rnacentral:rRNA from 1 species
UACAGAGGUGGCAAGCGUUGUUCGGAAUUACUGGGCGUAAAGGGCGCGUAGGCGGUUUCGUAAGUCCUGUGUGAAAUCCCCCGGCUCAACUGGGGAACUGCACAGGAAACUGCGAGGCUUGAGUUCGGGAGAGGGAAGCGGAAUUCCGGGUGUAGCGGUGAAAUGCGUAGAUAUCCGGAGGAACACCGGUGGCGAAGGCGGCUUGCCUGGACCGACACUGACGCUGAGGCGCGAAGCCAGGGA